rnacentral:rRNA from 1 species
UAUAAGUUAGCAACGGGAAUGAAAUAUAUAGUUUAUCUCUUCUCUUCCAAACAACUCUAAAAAAGUUUGGAAGAGAAAGAAUAUUUUUAUAGUAAUUAAAUUAUUUUUAAUAAAGUUCUUUAUGUUAAAAAGUUAAUGUUAUUUAUAUAGAAGAUAUAUUUAUUCAUUUUUAUGGAAAAAUAGACUUUAUUGAAGUUCUGGCAAAGCCUGUGCCAGCCGCCGCGGUUAUGCAGGUGGGAUAUAUAAUUUUAUACGAGAGAAAUAUUAAUAUUGAGUGAUUAUUUUAAAUUAAAUAGGUGAAAUUAUUAAUUGAUUACUGUUUUUAAGAUUUUGAAAAUUUAUUUAGAGAAAAAUGGGAUUAGAUACCCUAUUAUUAUGAAAUGUUAGUUUGGAAUUACCUUUGAGGUUGGGAAAACUAAGUAGAAUGGCGGUAUUUUAAGCUUUUUAGAGGAAUUUAUUCUAUAAUUGAUAUAACUCAAAAAUCUUACUUGAUUUGGCAAGGCAGUUUGUAUAUCGCUAUCAUGCUAUAAUGUUAUUAGGCUAUUGUAGAGAUUAAUUUUUUUAAAAAUGUUAGGUCAAAAUGCAGCAAAAGAUGAAGGUUGAAAUAAAUUACAAUGAUUUUUAUUGAUUUUAUGAAAAAGUUUAAGGAUUUAAAAGUAAAUUUGAAUUAUAAUGUUAAAUUGAAUUGAGUUCUAAAAUAUGCACAUAUCGCCCGUCACUCUCAUUUAUGAGAUAAGUCGUAACAAAGUAAAAGUACCGGAAGGUGUUUUU